rnacentral:lncRNA from 1 species
GUUAUAUUUGUUGAUUAUUAUCUUGUCUCUCAAAGAACCAUUCUUUGAGUUCUAUCCCUCGUUCAUUUGCUCUUAGGCAAAUCACAUUGUAGGAUUACAAUGAACUACCCAACAAAACAACAUUUGUUAGUUGGUUUAUAGAAGCGAUAUCCAAAAGUUAAUUUAAGGAUAUCCCACAAGAUUGUUAUCAAACAAAUAUUGUUUAUUAGCACACAACCCCAAAUCUUAACAUGCUUAAGAUUUGUCUUUCUUUCCAACUACAUCUUAUGGAGUCAUGAAAAAUUUGGAAGAUCUUCUAAUUGACAAUCAUAUUGUCUUAGAAGCAUAUAUAUCCUAUAUAUGGGUAAUAGAUAACAUCUAACGAACUAAAUCUUAUUCAAGUUCGUUCUUCUCCUAAUGGAGAAAUCUAUUAUCUUAUGAUGCUUCU